rfam:Dipodomys ordii contig_13275, whole genome shotgun sequence.
GGGAAUGUGGCUUAGUGGUAGAGUGCUUGCUUCGCAUGCAUGAACCCUGGGUUCAAUUCCUCAGUAUCA